CUGUUGAGUGACGAAACCUCCGUAGAUACAGUAACUUUCCAUCAUAACAAAUAUGGCGGACGUGUCAGUUACGGUACAUUUUGGAAAACUUCAAAUGAACGUUUUCUAUGUAAAUAGAUAUGAACGAAAGGCUGGACACAUUUGAGAACCUCACGAACAUUGAGGUUGUAAGAAGAUAUCGGUUAGAUAAGGAUGGCAUCGAUCGCCUUAAUCAAGAAUAUGGUGAACGUUUAUCACCUAAAACACUUGGGCCAAAGAAUGUCUCUUCUUUAGAGAAAAUCCUUAUCACCCUACGCUAUUUUGCUCCGGUGAUUUCCAGAUAAAUGAUGGUAACAUUCAUAAUUUGUCACAGCCAUCAGUGUCAAGGGCUGUGACACAGUUCACUGAGAUGCUCGCUAGCAGGGAAACUACAUCAAGAUUUAUAUUGUUCCCUCUAAAUAUGCAUGAUGUCAGCAGGGUAAAGACGGAUUUCCAAGGCAUAGCCAACUUUCCAAAUGUUGUUGGCGUUGUGGAUGGCACUCAAGUGCAGAUGUGCAGGAUGCAUAUGUCAAUAGAAUGGGAUAUCAUUCUAUCAAUACCCAGAGCUCACAUAAUAACAAGAUCAAAAGUCGAAAGGGGAAUAGGCCAACUGAAAAGAAGAUGGUGAGUGCUGCAUGGCGAAAUUCGUUUGAAACCUGAAAAGGCUUGCCACAGCUCUGCUAAUGACAUCACCUCGAGUUGGUCAUUGUCGUGACAGCUGCAGUGACACCUGACAAAGACAAUUCAUUUGUCAUACUUUGACAUAUGUACAAGACUGAGCAAAUAAAUGUACUUUGGGUUAUAGAGUUAAUUUAUUAUCAUUCAAUAAUUGGAGAAGUGUUAAUCUUUUUGAUAGCCUUUGUUGUAAAAAAAUAUUUUGUACAAAGUAACAAUGGUAUUUACUAUUUUUUUUACAAUGAGUUAUUCUUUUGUUUGAUUGAUAGGGGUAGAGUGGGGACGGGUACUGGUAAGACUGGUGUAGAUUUUUGUUUAAACAACCUCCUUCUAAAAUAAAUAUUUUUAUUAUUUAUAAGACCUAAUGGAUGUGUGGUUAAAAUUAUGUAACCACAUUUAUGAAUUCUUUUUAUGUCCCCCACUAUAGUAGUGGGGGACAUAUUGUUUUUGUCCUGUCUGUUGGUCUGUCUGUCUGUUUGCGCCAACUUUAACAUUUUGCAAUAACUUUUGCUAUAUUGAAGAUUAUAACUUCAUAUUUGGCAUGCAUGUGUAUCUCAUGAAGCUGCACAUUUUGAGUGGUGAAAGGUCAAGGUCAUCCUUCAAGGUCAGAAGUCAAAUAAAUGUGGCCCUUAUCGCUUAUUUUAUAAAUACUUUUGCAAUAUUGAAGAUAGCAACUUGAUAUUUGGCAUGCAAGUGCAUGUCAUGGAGCUGCACAUUUUGAGUGGUGAAAGGUCAAGGUCAUCCUUCAAGGUCAGAGAUCAAAUAUAUGUGGUCCAAAUCGCUUAUUUUAUGAAUACUUUUGCAAUAUUGAAGAUAGCAACUUGAUAUUUGGCAUGCAUGUGUAUCUCAUGGAGCUGCACAUUUUGAGUGGUGAAAGGUCAAGGUCAUCCUUCACAAUGUCAAGGUCAUCCUACAAGGUCAAACAUCAUAUAGGGGGACAUUGUGUUUCACAAACACAUCUUGUUCAAACAUAAAUGAGUUUUAUUUUUGAUUUAUUUUAAACUUGUUACCUCAGUGUAAUGACUAUUCAAACAACUAAAUUUUUGAAGGUGUAUUGUUACACCAUUACCAAUAGGUUUUUACUUUACAACAAAAUUAAACAAAAGCAACAUUGUUAAAAAUGACAUGAUAGUCUAAAUUUUUUUGAUACUUUACAUGAAGAGGACUUUAUUUUCAAAGUGAUAUAUAAGGCAUAUGAACAAAAAAAUGAGUACUUAUUUUAGAGGUAUUAAAGCAUUAACAUUUAUAAUAUUCUUUUCCUUAUAUAUUUGUUUAUUUCUAUUCUCAUUUUGCAAUUAAUUGAUGACUACCCGAGGCUGUUUGCCUUAAACACUGUAUUAUGCAAUAAAGAAUAUGGUAUGGUAUGGUACCUGUCAAUGCACGGUCUCUUAUGUAAUCUGUAUAAAUGAGACGGUGCUUGGCAACCAUGUUUAGCCACUUUUUUUCCAGCUUUUCUGCCGUCCUGUUUUUAGUUGCUUUUUGAUUGAACUUAGUUUAAACCAUCGCCCACAUCUGCUUGUUUGUUUGACUUGUUAUUCCAGUUAUUAAAUACAUAACUUGUAUUCAUUAAACAAUCACUUACUAUGUACAUAGCUUUGAUUGCUUUAUAUUGGCUUAACCGGUAUAUGUAGCAACUAGUGCAAAUAAAUUGGUGUCAAGA